GACAGAGGGUGCAAGCGUUGUUCGGAAUUAUUGGGCGUAAAGCGCGCGUAGGCGGCCGGGUAAGUCGAAUGUGAAAUCCCAUGGCUUAACCAUGGAAGUGCAUUCGAAACUACCUAGCUCGAGUAUCGGAGAGGGUGGUGGAAUUCCCAGUGUAGAGGUGAAAUUCGUAGAUAUUGGGAGGAACACCAGUGGCGAAGGCGACCGCCUGGACGAUAACUGACGCUGAGGCGCGAGAGCGUGGGGAGCAAACAGG
rnacentral:rRNA from 1 species